rnacentral:rRNA from 1 species
UACGGAGGGGGCUAGCGUUGUUCGGAAUUACUGGGCGUAAAGCGCACGUAGGCGGCUUUGUAAGUUAGAGGUGAAAGCCCAGGGCUCAACCCUGGAAUUGCCUUUAAGACUGCAUCGCUUGAAUCAUGGAGAGGUGAGUGGAAUUCCGAGUGUAGAGGUGAAAUUCGUAGAUAUUUGGAAGAACACCAGUGGCGAAGGCGACUCACUGGACAUGUAUUGACGCUGAGGUGCGAAAGCGUGGGGAGCAAACAGG